GGCCGCUUAGAUUAGUGGUAAUAUCGUGAGCUUUACACGCUCAAUGUCGCAGGUUCGAUCCCUGCAGUGGUCA
rnacentral:tRNA from 5 species